rnacentral:misc_RNA from 1 species
GAUGAAGAACGUAGCGAAAUGCGAUGAGUAAUGUGAAUUGCAGAAUUCAGUGAAUCAUCGAAUCUUUGAACGCACAUUGCGCCCGCCAGCACUCUGGCGGGCAUGCCUGUUCGAGCGUCAUUUCAACCAUCAAGCCCCCAGGGGCUUGUGCUGGGGCCCUGCGGCUGCCCGCAGGCCCUGAAAACCAGUGGCGGGCUCGCUAGUCACACCGAGCGCAGUAGCACAUCUCGCUCAGGGCGUGCGGCGGGCUCCUGCCGUGAAACCCCCCACUGUAACCCCAAAGGUUGACCUCGGAUCAGGUAGGAAUACCCGCUGAACUUAAGCAUAUCAAUAAGCGGAGGA